rnacentral:lncRNA from 1 species
UUCAGUUCAAUUAAUAUUCAUUUCACUCCUAAAUACUGGGAAGUAUGUUUUUUAAGUAAUCAAGAAAAAAUCCUUAAACUGUUUUGAGUUCAUUAAGUAAAGCAUAUGCUUUUCUUACAUUGUAUAUAAUUUGUAUUCUCCUGGUGAGUAUUCGCAAGCAUGUUAUUCCAUCGGAUUAUUGCUACAAUGUUGCUGCUGACUUUCUGACUUACUUCCUUCAGAGGUAAAAACAAAAACCCCAUGUAUGGAUGAGAGUCAGCUGGUAUAGCAACAAAGUUGCCCCCACAGAGACACAUUUA